rnacentral:rRNA from 1 species
GACGAACGCUGGCGGCGUGCUUAACACAUGCAAGUCGAACGGAAAGGCCCUGCUUUUGUGGGGUGCUCGAGUGGCGAACGGGUGAGUAACACGUGAGUAACCUGCCCUUGACUUUGGGAUAACUUCAGGGAACUGGGGCUAAUACCGGAUAGGAGCUCCUGCUGCAUGGUGGGGGUUGGAAAGUUUCGGCGGUUGGGGAUGGACUCGCGGCUUAUCAGCUUGUUGGUGGGGUAGUGGCUUACCAAGGCUUUGACGGGUAGCCGGCCUGAGAGGGUGACCGGCCACAUUGGGACUGAGGUAGGGCCCAGACUCCUACGGGAGGCAGCAGUGGGAAAUACUGCACAAUGGGCGGAAGCCUGAUACAGCAACGCCGCGUGCGGGAUGACGGCCUUCGGGUUGUAAACCGCUUUCGCCUGUGACGAAGCGUGAGUGACGGUAAUGGGUAAAGAAGCACCGGCUAACUACGUG